AUGCUCUCUCGCAUUCCCUUUCUCUCCACUAUACUUAGGGAACUGCGGUGGAUGUUCAAUGUACCCAGCAGGGUAUGGUUGUCUUCUCACGUGCGUCGGGUAUGGUGGGGUGAAAUCCAGUUCCACAGGCCUGACUGUCUGCCUACGCAUCUGAUUGAUUACAUCCAUCAUGUCUUCCCUUGUCACAUAUUGACCGGUUCCUGGAGCCUUUUGGGACGUCAUCGCAUACUGGUUUAUCUGCGGUGUAU
rnacentral:lncRNA from 1 species